CAUCAUUGUAGAUAUCAGGUGCUGCAUGCAUAUAACCCAGAGUUGCAUUGUAUCUACAGAAAACAUAUGCGACAAUUUCUAAACAUGUAGCUGUUCACAAACAAUUUGAACCAUUCCAGUGUUGACACAGGCAGCAAGUGUAUGGACCAAGUAAAAAGAAUGGACUUUAUCCCAGAGUACAUGUCUUGAUGGAAAAACUAUGCAUCUGCUCAGAAUUACCCUCACAGCCUGGCUUUGUAUGGGAG